rnacentral:rRNA from 1 species
UACGUAGGGGGCAAGCGUUGUCCGGAAUCAUUGGGCGUAAAGAGCGUGUAGGCGGCCCGAUAAGUCCGCUGUGAAAGUCCAGGGCUCAACCCUGGAAUGCCGGUGGAUACUGUCGGGCUCGAAUCCGGAAGAGGUGAGUGGAAUUCCUGGUGUAGCGGUGAAAUGCGCAGAUAUCAGGAGGAACACCAAUGGCGAAGGCAGCUCACUGGGACGGUAUUGACGCUGAGACGCGAAGGCGUGGGGAGCGAACGGG